GAUGAACGCUGGCGGCGUGCCUAAUGCAUGCAAGUCGAGCGAACAGACGAGGAGCUUGCUCCUCUGACGUUAGCGGCGGACGGGUGAGUAACACGUGGAUAACCUACCUAUAAGACUGGGAUAACUUCGGGAAACCGGAGCUAAUACCGGAUAACAUGUUGAACCGCAUGGUUCAACAGUGAAAGACGGUCUUGCUGUCACUUAUAGAUGGAUCCGCGCCGCAUUAGCUAGUUGGUAAGGUAACGGCUUACCAAGGCAACGAUGCGUAGCCGACCUGAGAGGGUGAUCGGCCACACUGGAACUGAGACACGGUCCAGACUCCUACGGGAGGCAGCAGUAGGGAAUCUUCCGCAAUGGGCGAAAGCCUGACGGAGCAACGCCGCGUGAGUGAUGAAGGUCUUCGGAUCGUAAAACUCUGUUAUUAGGGAAGAACAAAUGUGUAAGUAACUAUGCACGUCUUGACGGUACCUAAUCAGAAAGCCACGGCUAACUACGUG
rnacentral:rRNA from 1 species